ensembl:snoRNA SNORA71 Small nucleolar RNA SNORA71
ACCUGCAUUCACAGGGAGUCGAGGUCUCACCCGUGACCCAGUCAUUGGUAAUGCAGGGAGAGGAGCUCUGGAAGCGUUUCCCAGGUUCAAUGGGUUCAAUCCUGUCGUUCCCAAACACUGCAGCCUUCAGACA